CCUUUGGUGGGCAUCUCUUCUCCCAGACUGCCCUGUUCCAUGAAGCCCCCAGAGCAUUAAGCGACUUGAGCCACACCCUGAGGAGGACAGAGAGAUCUUGGAUUCUUUUUGAAGAGCUGGUGUUUUUCACUGAGAAGCACUAAUUUCUCCUCAGAGAAAUGAGGUCCUAGGGGCAAACUCAGUACAGCGUUGGCCCCUAAAACUGGAGGUCUACCUCUUGGUGUCUUCCAUGGUUAGUCUCCAUUGGAAAACACUCUCACAGCAGGCCUGGAAGGGGCUUCAGCUGUAGACACCUGGCCCAGGCCUCUCUUCAGUUGAGGAUAUGAUGAGCUGCCACACAGGCCCGAACCUCAUUGGCAGUCUUUACUGCUUAUGAAACCUGGGAGGGAAAGGGGGCCUUGUGACUCUGCAAAGCUUCAGAGACUUCCUGAGUGCUAAGCAGCCUCCGCUUAGAGCAUUCCUAGUCGGAACGAGCUUCUCUCCUGGAUGGAAUGUUUCAUCCCGGAGGUCACUGAGACUCAACAGACUCAGACAAUUGUCUUCUCGCCAUCCCUCUGUUGUGGAUGCUGUCAUGUGAUUAGAACAUGCCUCCUAGCUCACUGUGUAGCUAGGAGUCUCAUGGUCUUUACAACCUGCUUGCAACUUGAGAUGACCAUCAUGAAAGGUAGAUCUGGAAAUAUUACUGUCCUAUUUUGAGUGGCAGGCCUAAAAUCAUGAAUCAUAUAUGUAUACACACACACACACACACACACACACACGUAUAUAUAUCUUUUAUAAGCAAGGGUAUAUUUACAUGUUAAGAUUCACAGAUACUUCAUAUAUGUAUGUAUUAAUUCUAUUUUAUAUAGGUAUUACUUAUAUAUUUAUUUUGUAUAUCAACAUUUUUAGGAGGAAAGUGAAUUAUAAGAGAUGUAGAUCAAUAUAAGUUUUAUAUAUGUUAAGCUGAACAUAAAGUCUGUAGUCUCGCUCCUUUUCUUUUCUUUUCUUCUUCUCUUUUUUUAUUGACUAAGUUAUUUAUUCACUUUAUAUCCUGAUCACCGCUUUCCUCCCUCCUUUCCUCUUAGUCCCUUUCUCUCCCCUCCUCUCCCCCACCAUCCCUUCUCCCUUUCUCUCCAGAAAAUGGGAGGCCUUCCAUGGACAUCAAACAGCCUCAGUCUAUCAAGAGGGUUUGCAGUAAGUCUAGGCGCACCCUCUUCCAUUGAGGCAGCCCAGUCAGAGGAAAGGCAUCCAAAGACAGGCAAUGUAUUCAGAGAUAGACCCUGCUCCUGCAUUAGGAGUUCCAACAUGAAGACCCAGCUACACAAUAGUUACAUACAUGUAGGGAGCCUAAGUCCACCCCAUACAUACUCUCUGGUUGGCAGUUUAGUCUCCACGAGCCCCAGUGGGCCCAGGUGAGUUCACUCUGUAGGUUUUCUUGUUCAACCUGACAUUUCUAUUAGUGAUUCUCAGAGGUGGCCUAAUUUGAUGGCUGAACACAGUUUGGAUCCAAACACAUCCUGGAGCAAAGUUGUAACUAAAAGUGCAAGCUGAACAGCCUGAGCCUCCAUCCCUCCUUUUCCUGGCAGUGACAAGGUCUGUGAUGUGUGCCAGGCACCAUGGAAUGAGUAAGACACCGGCAGAGCUUGGUGUUAACACUGUCUGCUAUGACCUACCACUUUUAUGUUUGUUUCUUUAUUGUUCUUUGAGUUCUAUCAUAUUUGACUUCACUUUCAAAACAUUAGUGAACCCAGCAGAGCACACACUUCCCAGAGCCUCUGAGUUUUGCUCUGUUUUCUAGGAUUUCUUGAUCCACAGUCAUCACAGCGGGGCUCCAUUCCUGUUUCUUCCCAUCAUGGAGAACAGGGAGAGCUUAUUUUUCUCUAUAAAUUAUUUUUUUUUCUAAAUCAAAUCUACAAAGAUUAAAAGAUGUAAUGAACAUUAAUAGCGGUUCAGCGCGUCAGUGUUUUAUAGUCUGGGGACGGUCAAAUUAUUUGUUUAUCUUUUGCUGCUGUGUUGUUUGGUUUUCAAACAUGGUCUCAAAUCUUAAAACAGACUAACCUGAAAGUUACUGGUCAUCCAGGCUGACCUUUAACUGUGAGGCAUUCACUUCUCUUAACUGGGUGAGUCCUGGAAUUACCACGAGGCUUGUAUCACCAUGCUUACUCCAUUCAUUUUGUGAAAGCAUUUUGAUUAUACAUAUACAACACACUCACACAUACAGAACACACACAUCUAUAUACAUAUAUACACACAUGUAAGUAUGUGUAUAUAUAUUCAUAUACACAUACACAUAUUAACCAUUAUGGUAUUAAUACAGGUGCUAUCAUUUCUACUGCUGAGAACGGAGCCCAGAAAAAUAUGAAUAUAGACCAAUAUUAAAAUAUAGAUAAACUUAUUAUCCUUAUAUCUAAAUAUUAUCUACACAUACACAUUCACACAUGCACACUACUCCAUAAGAAAUGGCAGCCAUUUAAAGGUAAUAUGUGAGAUGCUUUAUGAAAAAAUAUAGACACAGCCCAUGCAUCAACAUUCCUCAUACAUGUAUAUGUACAUAAUCAAGGAGUUUACGUGAAAAAUGCAAAAUACAGAAAAUACUGCUCUGGGUGGGUUUCAUCUAGAAUCCUUUUGCGUUCACACAUUUCUCUAAUUUCACAUCGUAUGAUUCUGAUAACAAAACAAAGGAUAGACUCAUUUCAGAAGCACCAUUUUAGAAAAAGGUCAUCUGCUCUGAUAAUUCUGUUCAGAAAUGAACGGGGUCGGGGGUUUGGGGGUGUGGCCCACAUGACACAUUUCUAGGGCUCUUUUGUGCUUGAUUUUGUCCCUCUGAGACAGCACAGUGGGCAGAGGAGCCCAAAGGGAACAGGCACAGCACACUCAGAGUUCCCCUCCCCCACUUUGCUCUCUGAAACUCUGCAGCCAACCUUAUUGAAUUCCUCGUAGCGAUCCUGCCCAGUGCCCCGCUGUGGCCCAGCUGCUUUCCGGCACCCUCUCUGAUAACAGAGAGAGGGCGCCCCACACCUGCUUCUGAGACUGGCUCCUUAGGGAUGUUACUGUUGCCUCCUGGAUCCUGUGCAUGCUUGAGAAGGAUCCCCGGAACGAGACAUUAUUAUUUUCUCUUUUCUUCGCGGAAAAGAGGCUAAAAAUAGGCACAGAAGCACCUUACAGCCUCCAGGCUAGUGGCUGGAAAGUCACCGUUCAGAGGUUAACGCGCCAGCAUUAAGACAAAGUAAAGUAGCGAGCGCUCGCGAUGUCACGGACUUGCAGAGUAAAUAGGGGAGACAGGCUGCUCUGACGUGCUGAAUUUAUGAACUUUACUGUUCUGCUCCACCCAGAGCGCUCCCCUGCACUCAUGGGAUGCUGUUGCUGCAUUUGCAAGCCACUGUCUCUUUCACCUCUGAGGCGCUGCAUUUGCAAGCCACUGUCUUUCACCUCUGAGGCCUGGGAACCACAGCUCCCCUGGGGUCGCUCCUUGCAUGGCUUCCGGAGCCUCCAGGGAUCUUCAGGUCUCUCCAGGAACAAUGCUGUGAGCCCGAAACUGCAUUGUCUCAGCCGGAUGUUUUGAGGAGGAUCCAGGGCACGUUUGCCAGCUUCUAAACAGCAUAGCACAACAGCCCCGCUUCUGUGAGUCUCUGCUUUGUGAAUCUGCUUUCUGGACUUGUCCUUGCUCAGCACCCAAAUUAGCUUAACAAGCUACGGAAAUCUCAGCUCGACCUGGAGGCAGCAGUGGCAAGACAGAAACAGAGCUCCGAAUCAAUUGGCCAGAGGCGUGGGGGGUGGGGGAAGACAAAAGAAACAUUGUGUCAAAUUUAUUUUCUGUACUCUUGGGAUUGCAAGGAGAGCCUGAAAAUGCUCACAGCGAGAGUGACUAGGGCCGGCUUGGAUUUUUAGCUAAAAUAAACCAUAUUCAUGUCAAACUGCAAAGGGCACAUUGGUUUACCGCGCGAGGGCAAAGAAGACAAACGGCGAAGUAGCGGCAUCAAAUAAUGAUCUGAAAUUUACCACGGGUUCGCUCGGUACAUCCUUCCCUAACUCGUGUAUAUUUCAUUUAAAUGUAUCCAUCAGUUUAAAUAGGGCACUAGGUCCGUCCCGCCCUCCACCUGUGCUCUCAAUGUUUCUCUGCGUGUCUGCCAGUUUGUGGGAUGCCUGCAGCUAAGAUGAAUCAGAAUACAAAGAGAGGGCUGACAGGUUCGUGUAUGCCCAAGGUGAGCUGUGACCUAAAAUGAGACUAGUUCUAAGGAAAGAUGGAUCACAUGUGUCAUGCAUGCUGGACCAGCAGAUGGCAGCAGAGCUCUGGGCUCCCACCACAGUGAAACUCCGUUCCCUCAUCAGAGUGGUCCUAUGUGCCCUCUGUGUCACUGACCCCAGAACAACAUCUUUGAUUUAUAAUCAUACAUGACUAGCAUCUAUCCCUUUUACUACAAAUCUAUGACAUUAAUUCAGAGGUCACCAUUCUCUGAAUGGGACAUCCUGCUUACAUAAAAAAGAAAAAUAAAGUUUAAAGGCGUGGGGGAAAUCACAGAACAAAAUAGGGGGUAUGUGUGUUUCCCCCGUCUUUGAGCUUCUUAGUCUAUAUUACCCCACAACCAAAACACAAUAUGUUGGUUGAAAGUGUUUUUUUUGCAACUAGUUCCUAGCAUGAGGAAGCAUAAGCCUUUAAUUUCAUCAUCUGGGAAACAGAGACAGGAAGAUGUCUGUGAGCUCAAGGCCAGCCUGGUUUGCAUAAUGAGUUCUGGGUCAGCCAGGUACAAAAUGAGACCCUGUCUAACAACAAACAAACAAACAAACAACUCUUGCUUGGUUGACCAUUCACAAUCUCCCCAUAUUUAAUAAAAAUUUACCCCCAGAACUAUUUUGAAAUACCCUCUAACAUAAUAUGAUUAGAGAUAGUGCCCAGAGCCAAAUUUCACUUUGUCCUUAAAACCGCAGUCAGAGAUUCUCCAGGUCUUCCCAGCUGUAUUUUAAUGGUUUAAUGAUUUUUCAAAGUAGAGGAGUUUGGGAAAUUAUAGGAUUUAACAAAUUGAUGGCAGUUGGCCUUGUACAGGUUUAAUUAAAUUAGGGUUUAAUUGACGAGAUGGAAAGGGGUGGUGGGAUUUUUCUCAUCAGCAUUCCGGGAGCAUCAAUGAAGAUCUGCCUUGCCAGAAAGAGUGUCAUAACCUCCCGAGACACUAGAUGGUGCUGCAGAGUCACUAUGGAAUUUCUAUUACCGGUUUUUAAGACUCUUUGAUCCUACGUUAUUAUUUUUUUUCCUGCUUUCUGAAGAGCUUGCAUCAGAAAACACACCAAAAAAGAGCAGAUAUUUUUAAAAACGCAGUAUUGUCAAUGGAAUCGUGGAAAUUGACGCCCGAGAAAGACGAGAUAGGCAUGCUUCUGCGUGUUUAAAUUUAGAUUCCAUAUUUAGAUUAAUCUUCAACCAAGUAUAACAGUCUAAAGAGUCCUGGAAAUACUUAAUGGCCUUUUGCUGUGGCAUUAAUGAAUUGCAUGAAAUUGAAAUAAGAUUUGCUUGGACGCUA